rnacentral:rRNA from 1 species
UACGAAGGGGGCUAGCGUUGUUCGGAAUUACUGGGCGUAAAGCGCACGUAGGCGGAUAUUUAAGUCAGGGGUGAAAUCCCAGAGCUCAACUCUGGAACUGCCUUUGAUACUGGGUAUCUUGAGUAUGGAAGAGGUAAGUGGAAUUGCGAGUGUAGAGGUGAAAUUCGUAGAUAUUCGCAAGGAACACCAGUGGCGAAGGCGGCUUACUGGUCCAUAACUGACGCUG